rnacentral:lncRNA from 1 species
CCAUCUGCAGGUUUCGAGACGUGGCUCACGGCAACACUCGUGUGGUUCACAGAGCAGACCACUCUCCAGACGUAGCUAACUCGGCUACUCCUGACUCGGAGACUCGUCUUCUGACUCGGAAACCUGGUCAACACGGUUCUUCUUCAUCGUCUCGGUCUCUUAGAUAUGGCUCAACUACGUUAUCCGCAACGACGUCAUUUAGAGCCAUGCAGUUCCGUAAACUCUCCGGAUGUUACGAGUGUCACAUGAUCGUUGACCCUAGCAAGUAUACAAAAUUAAAUUCCGCCAAUAAAUUAGCUGUCGUUAUAUUUUUGGUGUUUCAUUUAUUGAUUUUUUUUGAAUUUUAGGUAUCCAAUUUCGCCUAGGGUUCGUGCUUGUUCCCAGUGUGGAGAAGUUUUCCCGAAGCUUGAAAGCUUAGAGCUUCAUCAAGCGGUUCGUCACGCAGGUAAUGUUUAACUUUUUUUCUUUAAUUUGUUGGACGUUAUCACGCUCAAUAUUGAUUUUGGGAUGUACAUAUGUAGUCACGUUUCUAAAGUUAACCCUGGUAUUAAAGAUUGUUUUAUUCAUCUAGUGGCAUUUCUAAAGUUAACCCUAGUACAGUAGUACUAACACAUGUUUUGGUGACAUGGAUUCAUCAUAGGGUUUACCAUAAUGCUAAGCAAUAAUUCACUAACUAGGAUAAAAAUGAGCAGGGUAAGUUUAUUUGUAUAUAUUAUCGAUAUUUUUUUUUAUAUAUUUGAUCAUUUUAUUUAUAAAUAUACAAUAUUUUUUGUUGUUAUUCUAUAAUUUAUUUCUGAUGGACCGGAUCAAUUUUUAUUAAAAAUUGUGGAACUAAACUAUAAUUAAUAUAUUAUGGAUUGAUCGGAUUGUACAUUAAACAAAUUAUGACACAAAAACUUUAUUUUUUUCCACCGAACACAUUCUUGAAAAAAGUAAACAGUACUAUUUUCACAGUUGAAUUAUUUUGACAUUUAUCUUUCAUAUGGUUUUGAAAGAGUUAAGAUUAACCAUCGAAUUGAUACAUGUCAUUUUAAUGUUUUUCGUUGUAUGCUUAAGGAAAAAUUACAUUUUUGUAAUUUAAAAUCGUUUAAAAAACUUCAAAAUAUAACAUAUAAGAAAAAAUGUAACAUAUAAGAAAAAUAUAACAUAUAAGGUUUUCUCAUUUUUGUAAUUUAAAAUCGUUUUAAAAUUUUUAAAUAUAACAUAUAAGAUUUCCUCAUUUUUGUAAUUGAAGUCAUUUAAAAAAAAUCAAAAUAUAACAUAUAAGAAAAAAUCUAAUUUUUUUAUUAUUUGGUCAAUGUGAUUGUUUAUUUUUUUUUAAUAGUAUAAAAAUUAAACAAAAAUGAAGAAAGAUGCAAAAAUUGUUAUCAAAUCUUUAUUAUUCAUAGUCAUUAAUUGUUAUAUAUAUGUUAAUUAUAUUAGGUAAUUAUGUAGCUUUUAUUUAAGAAAAAAAUAAACGCUUCUCAUAUUUUGGGGUGAUAUAAUAUUUCCUAUUAAUUGGAUUUAGACCAACAUUUUUUCGAUUGAUUUUUAAGCUGCCACGUAAACUAAAUUGUCAUCCUAAUUAAGUGACAUCUAAGCAUGAUCUUUUUUUAAUUAGUAUAAAUUUAAAGUUAUAAUUUUUUUAAUGACCCUCAAUUAAUAUAUAUGGGAUAUGCUUUCAUGUUAUAGCUAGCUUAGUUUUUUCAGUAAUGGAAUCAAGAUCAAGAGAUCUCAUUGCUAGUGUCGGUGAUAAUAUCUAUCAAAUAAAUUAGGAAGAUUUGGCAUUAUGUUUAGUUUGUAAUUAGAAUAUAAAUUUAUUUAACGCAUCUCAAAGAAAAAAAUACAAAAUAUAAGAGGAAUAUUAAUGGAGAACAGUAUAUUAUACUUCCUCUAUUCCAAAAAAAAAAAGGAUUUUCUAAAGUAUUCACGCAUAUUAAAAAAACAAUAAAUUUUUUACAAUUGAAUUUAUUAUUUAUUUUACUGUACAUUUUCCAAUAAAUAUCAACCAAUAGUAUUCAACCAAUUCAAAUAUUUUCAAUUAAUGUUUUUUAAAAGUAUUCAAUUUUUCAACAUUAACUAGUGAAAGUACUUUCAAAUUUUAGAAAAUCUAUUAUUUUGGAACAAAAAAAAUCUACAAAAUUCUACUUUCAUUUUGCUCGGAAACACUUCGGUAUGCGAUGGGACCAUUGGUACUAUAAACAUGAACAGCUGUAACAUUUCUUAACUAAAUUCAGUGUCCCCUGACGAACCGAAUUUAAAAUUCAGUUUUUGUGUUUUGCCUCGACUUUUAUCAUGUUCCCUGAUUUAAACGUCGUCCUUUAAUUACAGUGUCGGAGUUAGGUCCGGAAGAUUCGGGUCGAAACAUAGUGGAGAUCAUAUUCAAGUCAAGCUGGCUUAAAAAGGACAGUCCAAUCUGUAAGAUCGAACGGAUACUAAAAGUACACAACACUCAACGUACAAUCCAACGGUUCGAAGAUUGCCGAGACGCAGUGAAGGCGCGUGCACUUCAAACUACAAGAAAAGACGCUCGUUGCGCUGCAGACGGUAACGAGCUUCUCCGUUUCUACUGCACCACUCUCACUUGCUCUCUCGGAUCUCGUGGCUCGUCUUCCCUCUGCUCUAAUCUCCCUAACUGCGGCGUGUGCAACGUGAUUCGCCACGGUUUCCAAGGAAAAUCCGGCGCCGGAGAAGCCAACGCAGGCGUGAGGACGACGGCGAGUAGUGGAAGAGCUGAUGAUUUGCUGAGGUGUAGCGAUGAUGCGAGGAGAGUGAUGCUUGUGUGUCGUGUGAUCGCUGGGAGUGUUAAACGUGUCGAUUCUACGGCGGCGGAGAAGAAGUCUCCCGUGGAAGAUAACUCGACGGUUGGAGUUUCUUCUACCGGCGGUGUGUUUGACUCGGUGGCGGUCAAUGCCGGAGCUUAUUCAAAUAUGGAGGAGCUGGUGGUUUAUAACCCGAGGGCUAUAUUACCUUGCUUCGUGGUUAUUUACAAGGUUGUAGAAUCUUGAAUUUGUUGUAUUAACUUCAGAAAUAAUGCUUUUUCUGACUUUGUAAUAUUGUAGGGAGAUUAAGUUAAUCAUCAUUUAAGAUCUUAACAUAAACCCCAUCUUACUAUUGCAUAAGAUUAAUAAAUUUUGCAUUGAAAAUCGAAAACGACACUUAUUUUGUAACGAAAAAAAUUAUCUAAAACGACACUUAAUAUGAAACGGAAAGAGUAAUAAUAAUACCAAACAUGUUUGCGUCGCAUAUUCAGCUUGCAUUUCGACCGAUGGAAGCUUCAUUGACACUGACCAAGUCAGCUCUUAAGAAGGUCAAACUAUAAUGGCUUAGAUGUGAAGUAACCAUGAUCAAUUUUCAAUGGCUUACUCUAUUUUUUACUUUAAAAUAAAAUAAUUCUAUAAUAAAGUUUUAAGUUUGUUUUAAUGGUAGUCUAUUUUAGAGUAAAAGAUAGAGUGAUAAGCAAAAAAAAAAAUCAAAUUACUCUAUAUUUAGAAUAAAUUUAUUUUUUUACUCUAUUAUAGAAUAAGAAAUAUAGUAUCAUUAGAGCAUUUUUACACUAAAUUCUAUUUUAUAGCAAAAAUUGAGUGGGGUUGGAGAUGCUCUAAUUGUUAAAGCACAUAUAAGCUAACCAAACUAGUUCAGAAAGAAUUAAUGUCAUUUUCUUCUAACUAAUUUCUUAUCAUUAGCACUUUAGAACUUAGUAUAAUUCAUAUUAAAUACUGUUUUCUUUAAGGAAAAUAUAGUGUUAACUGUACCACAACUAACAGAGCAGCAAACAGAUGCCAACAUUAAUUACAAUAUUUUUUACUGACAAAACAAAAUAUUUGAAUAUUAGUACGCUAUUUUCCAGUAAAAAGCUAAUUAUGAUUAAGAAAACAAAUCGAAUGACAAGAAUACUGAAAGGUAUAGAGUAAAACAGUAAAUAAAGAAUUAAAGAAACAUAGAGGCCACCACUUUAAUCUUUCCCUCCUUAUUACCCCAUCUUGGAUCCAUCUUCGAUUUCAACACCAACAAAAAAGCCUUAUAAUUAAAGAACCAAAAAGAAACUCUCACGUUCUCUCAAGAGCUUCUCUUUCAGUUUCAAUGGCCUUACUAACUUUCUUGCCGGAAAACGCAGAGUCUCCAAAACACACUCCACCGCCAAACAAACGCAAGAAACGCGAGAUCAAUCACACCAACCAAACGCAGAAACCACACAAACCGCAAAAGCAGAAAGCAGUAGCACCUCAGAAGCAACCGUCUUCAUGGGACCAAAUCAAGAAUCUCUUGACUUGCAAGCAAAUCGAAGGGUCAAGAAUCCACGACCCUUCCAAGAACUCUCAACCCGGUCCAUCCACAACCACUCACUUAUUAUCACCUUCCAAGCUUGGCUCGUCGUGCAGCUCCAUCUGCAGGUUUCGAGACGUGGCUCACGGCAACACUCGUGUGGUUCACAGAGCAGACCACUCUCCAGACGUAGCUAACUCGGCUACUCCUGACUCGGAGACUCGUCUUCUGACUCGGAAACCUGGUCAACACGGUUCUUCUUCAUCGUCUCGGUCUCUUAGAUAUGGCUCAACUACGUUAUCCGCAACGACGUCAUUUAGAGCCAUGCAGUUCCGUAAACUCUCCGGAUGUUACGAGUGUCACAUG